AUAACUUUUAUUCAUUUAGGUUGUUAAAUGUUAGUUUUUUUGUCCUUUCACAGGUUGUAGGACAUUAUCUCCAUACGGUCGUUAAACUUGUCGAGAUAGUUGGAUUCAAACUGAAGGAAUUACGGGCUGGUUGCUAGUGUUAGCAAGACUACCUACAUAUAGCUUAAGCUUUUGGCCAAAGUAUUUUCCUGGGACGCAACAUGGAAAGUCCCCACUCUGUGAACAGUCCAAGAAGAACUCUCAGUUUGUCAAAGCAGCGGAGGGCAACUGUUCCCUUUUUGCACCCUGAUGACAAAACCUCUGGCUUCGGAUUGUCUGGGAUCAUGGCCC